rnacentral:rRNA from 1 species
AUUGAACGCUGGCGGCAGGCCUAACACAUGCAAGUCGAGCGAGCGGCGGACGGGUGAGUAAUGUCUGGGAAACUGCCUGAUGGAGGGGGAUAACAACUGGAAACGGUAGCUAAUACCGCAUACCAUCAGAUGUGCCCAGAUGGGAUUAGCUAGGCGGUGGGGUAACGGCUCACCUAGGCGACGAUCCCUAGCUGGUCUGAGAGGAUGGCCAGCCUCACUGGAACUGAUACACGGUCCAGACUCCUACGGGUGGCAGCGGUGGGGAAUAUUGCACAAUGGGCGCGAGCCUGUUGCAGCCAUGCCGCGUUUGUGAAGAAGGCCUUCGGGUUGUAAAGCACUUUCAGCGGGGAGGCGUUACCCGCAGAAGAAGCACCGGCUAACUCCGUGCCAGCAGCCGCGGUAAUAC